UUUUAGCCCCGAUGGGAGCGAUAUCCUUUUGUGGCGGGGUUCGCCGCAAAAGAUAUAGCGGACAGCGGGAUUAGCU
rnacentral:sRNA from 1 species